CCGAGUGAGGGUCCCUCGCGGCCCAACCUCCCACCCGUGUCUACCGUACCUUGUUGCUUCGGCGGGCCCGCCACCCAGUGGCCGCCGGGGGGCUUCUGCCCCCGGGCCCGCGCCCGCCGGAGACCCCAACAUGAACACUGUCUGAAGCCUUGCAGUCUGAGUCGAUUGUUUACAAUCAGUUA
rnacentral:misc_RNA from 1 species